CCUGGGGGAGUAGGUGAAGGAGCAGAUUCAGCCCCAUGUUGUCCCCAGAGUCACGGCUCGGGGCCUGAACUGUGGGCAGGCCUCCCGGCCACCAAUUGGACACAAGCAGCAAUUCUGUGUUGGAAGGGGGCUGCUCUGGAAGUGUUGGGGGAAAGCAGGCCCGCAUCUCCUCUCCACCUGGCAGUUUUCAAUAUCUUUCCUCGCCUGCGUCGCUGGCAUUACCCCUUCAUAUCAGACGGCAUGGAAUUUAAAGGCCUCGGUCCCAACCCGCUCUUUCGACAGUAUCAGAUCAAGGUGACCAAGUGGCCCUGAGUCAGAAGAUUGUAGUGGACACUCAGACCAAGG
rnacentral:lncRNA from 1 species